UGGGGGAUCGUCUAAUGGUAGGACAGCGGAUUCUGACUCCGCCAGUCUAGGUUCGAAUCCUAGUCCCCCAGCCA
rnacentral:tRNA from 2 species